rnacentral:rRNA from 1 species
GACGAACGCUGGCGACGCGCUUAACACAUGCAAGUCGAACGGAAAGGCCUGCUUUCCCUUGUGGAUUGCGGGUACUCGAGUGGCGAACGGGUGAGUAACACGUGAGUGAUCUGCCCCCAACUUGGGUAUAAGCCUGGGAAACUGGGUCUAAUUCCCGAUAGGACUGCAGGGUGGUGCCUGUGGUGGAAAACGAUUUUCUAGUGGUUGGGGAUGAGCUCGCGGCCUAUCAGCUUGUUGGUGGGGUAAUGGCCUACCAAGGCGGCGACGGGUAGCCGGCCUGGGAGGGUGGACGGGCACAUUGGGACUGAGAUACGGCCCAGACUCCUACGGGAGGCAGCAGUGGGGAAUAUUGCACAAUGGGCGGAAGCCUGAUGCAGCGACGCCGCGUGGGGGAUGACGGCCUUCGGGUUGUAAACUCCUUUCGACCGCGAGGAAGCCACCUGGUUGGAAGGGUGGUGACGGUAGUGGUAGAAGAAGCACCGGCUAACUACGUG